rnacentral:misc_RNA from 1 species
GUGAAGAACGUAGCGAAAUGCGAUAAGUAGUGUGAAUUGCAGAAUUCAGUGAAUCAUCGAAUCUUUGAACGCACAUUGCGCCUUCUCGUAUUCUGGGAGGCAUGCCUGUUUGAGCGUCAUUAAACCUCUCUCAAGUAUGAUUACUUGGAUGUGAAGGAAGAGUACCUUAAACUUAAGGAGUGUUCUCCUUUGAAAUUGAUUAGCAGAUGGUAAUGUUAUUAAAUCCCUGAUGUUGUAAGAAAUAACAGUGGUUUUGUAGACUAUUAUCUAGCUUUAAAUUAUAAUUUUUAUUAUGGUUGACCUCAAAUCAGGUAAGGAUACCCGCUGAACUUAAGCAUAUCAAUAAGCGGAGGA